rnacentral:lncRNA from 1 species
GCCAGAUGGUGAUGACGACCAGAGGGAGGGUUGGAGGUCCAAGACUGGGGCGUUGGCUAGGAAGGGGUGGGAGGGCCUCUCUGGAGUCACAGAAGCCUCAUGCAUCUUGACCAGGACGGUGGAUGCAUGGCUUACAUUGGUCACAACUUGUCAACUUGUAUGACUGAAAACUGAACAUCACAUUGAAUUGGACUCAAAGGCAAGACCUGAGGCAAAAUUCAUGUAAGGAGGGAGUUUGGGCGAAGCUUGAGGACUGCUGCCCGGAAGCGUAGAUUCAAGUUGCCCUGAAUACACCUCCUAUUAGCAGCUGUUACAGGUUCAGAAAAAGGAUGGAGGUAGAAAGUCCUCUCUCCCAAACACUAUGAUUGACACUGCAGAGUUCUGCAACUCUCGUACGAGGGAGAUUUCAUGAUGAUCUCAGUAACCGAUCAGAGAAUCAACGACUGACUUCGCUGAGGCACGGUGAUGAAAAGGUCAAGGUGGUCUGGUCUGAGUGAAGUCACAGCAAGAACCCUUGUCCAGGGCCAUUCUCACCUUUGGGGACAGCUCCUUCCCUGUAUGGUCCUCAUGUCACUGCACUUUCCUGCCUUGUUUCUUGCUGAAGCCAUUAUUUCUUAAUUCCUUAGUAGAUAUGCAGAGCGGACAUCCCAAAGAAGCUAGAAAAAUUGAUGAGCAGGGAACAGAUCAAAUCCUCUCCAUCAGUGGAAGGCAAUUCACGAGGGAAGAAGGCAAGACCAUGGGGUAAUUUUUCUGAGACUUGACAAUGUUUGCCAAGUAAAUAAAUCUGCCAUUUAACACUACGAUAAAAGCUGUCAUAGCCAGGGUAUUAGUGACUACUUGAGGUUUGAGGACAAUGAAGACAGAGUAAGAUAAACAUCCUUACUAUCCAGAAAAAAAAAACGGAACCAGAAGACAGCGCUUCUUACUAUCCACAAAAGAAAUGGAACCGCAAGACAGCCCUUCUUAUUUUUCUCCAUCUUCGAUGGUGAGGAAGAAUAAAAAAAAAGUUGCUUUUAAAGUAUAUUCAUUAAAAUCAAAUUCUAUUAUCAUACACACAAAAUAUUUACGUGAAACCAGCCACAAAAGAAUGACAAGGAACGCUACUGAUUUGUCCAUUCUGGGGGAUAAGAACACAGAUUCUUAUCUCACUCUUGUUAAAAGAAAACUUCAGCUGAAUUAAAUUUAAAGGAGUUUAAUUGAGCAAUGAAUGAUUUGCACAUCGGGCAGCCCCCAGAAUUACAGCAGAUUCAGAGAGACUCCAGUGCAGCCACGUGGUGGAAGAUUUAUAGACAAAAAAAGGGAAGUGAGGUAGAGAAACACCUGGAUUAGUUACAGGUUGGCAUUUGCCUUAUUUACACACAGUUUGAACAUUCAGCAGUGUAUGAGUGAUUGAAGUACGGCUGCUGGGACUGGCCGAGACUCAGCAAUUGUGACAGGUACAUACUCCUAAUUUAGGUUUUCAAUCUUGUCUACCUAUUAAGUUAGGCUCAGUUUGUUCACAGGGACUCCAAUACAGAAGUACGGAGUCCUUCUCAGGCCAUAUUUAGUUCGCUUUAACAAUUCCCCCUUUUUGGUCAUUUUAUCAGUUUUGAGAGAUUGAUCGAAACUUGAGUUAUUGAUGUCACUGUCACCAUUGGUCUUGAAACCCACUAGGAAGCAGAACAGUGAGUUUUGCAAAGGUAGGAACAAGGACUGAGUUGAGGAUACCACCUUAUGCUGGAAAGUCCUGUUUGCAAGAGAAAAACAAAACCUGGUCUAUUCUAGGACCCAUGUGUUUCCUUAAAGUCUUAAUUCGAUUAUGUCACAUUUAGCACGAAUGAUGCCAUUUUGGUUCGGUUUGGUCUGUUGGGACCUAGUGCUCAGUCCAAAACAAUGGCCUCCCAUCAUUUUGUUUAAAAAAUUCCCCCUUUGUCAGGUUGUCACUUAGGCAAGAGUGUGACCAAAACUUAGGAUGUUAGCGCCACUCUCCGUUACUAUCAUUUUGGAUUUCCAGUCUCAGCAUGUCACUCAUCGGUUUCGGUGUCCUCGUGGUCACACAUUUCUUUCAGCUCUUGUCAUUCCAGUUGAAGAGAGACCAUCUGACGUUCUAAAGAUGGCUUCAUGCAAACAUUUAAAACCUUUGAGAGAAUACAGUGCACCAGGGAGACUAUUCUUAUGACUACUGAGAGGGUUAACACCAAGAAUUUGGAGUAUGCUCCUUAGCCAGGGUCCCCAUAAACCAGACCACCUAAACUCAAAUAGACCAUUCUUUGACUUAACUCAGUGGUCUUUUCGUUAAUUCCCUACAACAGACUCUCUAUAACACCUGAUGUUUUCUCCAUAGGCCUUAAGUGCCAGCAUCUGCACAGGUACUUUCCUGUUUAGCCAAUUCUAUUUUUUAGCAUAACUUUCACAAGAGAAUUUAACAUCUGUUGUGUAGCCUUUACAGUAGAAUCUGCUACAGAGUCUACCAUGAGGGAUAUGUUUCUAGUCAUUGCCUUUUUAAUUCCAAACCAUGGAAAAAGGACCUAACAAAUGAUGCCCUUCUAGAAGAGGGAAGGCCUCUUGGCAAUGGUCUCUUUAACCCAUGCUGUGGGUUAAGAGGAGUGAACCAAUGUUCUGCUUCUGAAUGAUUAUGAGGCACCAUAUGUACCAUUGAAGUUUCUCACCUAUGAUACACUGGGCCUUCAUCUUUAUCUAUCAAGUUAUAAGAUUAUCCAUGUAUAAAGCUGGCUGCAAAGCCCUUCACAAAUAAAAGUAUACCCCAUAAGUGCACAAAACAGACCCCCUUCUCACUUCUGUUGUUCACAGAGGCGGAAGCAACGGAAAAACAUUCAAAGAUAAGAGUCUCAUGAUAGUAAGAAGUCUUGAUCCAUGAUCUUCAGAAAGAGCUGCUCACAUCAAGGAUGCCAUCUUCUUCUGGGGAGAAACUUCCCUGAUUAGCUUUACCUUAAGGGUUUCAAUGGAUGUAGAGUUCCAAGAGUGACCCUGCUCAGUUGUGAGAUUAUGACCCCAAGGUUCAAGAUCCUGAUGUUUUGUUGCAGUGAUGAUGCCAAGGGCAGCGUUUCUCUGAUGUUCUCAGAAGAUCCCAUCUUUGGGUUCUAGAUUGUGAAGGGGUUGAUUGUCCUCAGUGAACCAUAAAAAGCUCUUUACCUGGUGAAAAUACACUGAUACAUAGUAAUCUACUGUUAUAACAUUAGCCCUCCUGCAUGGGAAAGCUUUAGUACAACCAGAACACAUACAUUGAAAAUGACAACUGAAUGAAACCCCUUUAUAAAUGUUUAAAUGCCUCAUCAGGUAGCCAAAUGUACAUGAAGCUUUGAUUGACUUCCCAGGAGUAUGGGUUUGACAAACUAAACAUUGUUUAUAAACUAUUUUAACAAUCUGUAAGUCACCACACCAACAUAUUUAAUUUGGAUCAUUUUAUCUUUUCCAGGAUGAGUCAUGGAAUGCAUAACUUUUAAUAACAAAAGCUUUAAGGACUCACGAAGGACAAGGCAGCCAUCUUGGUUCUCCAUGAGUCCAUGCUUAACAUCGGACUUAUGUCCUCUUGGGUGCCAGUUGUUUCUCCAAAUUGGGCACAUAGCAUGGAUAACUGAUGGGUUAUCACAGGUAAUUUGACUUAGACCAUGGAGUUCAUUCAAAUUGUAUAUCUAAACAAUUUCAGUAUAGGCUGAUUAAGUAUGCAAACCUGGUGAAGCAUUUCCUCGGUAUUCAAUUAAUUUUUAUUCUAUUUGGGUUAGCAGUUUUAUAAGCCAGUCAGUCUUUUCAUUAAAGUUUCAGCAAUUCUUACCCAGUCCAAAUGAUGUGAUUUUGAAGUUACUAGAAACCUGUAUUCCACAGUGCUUUUCAGGGUCCUCCCCAUCCGUUCACGAACCUCCUAAAAGACACCAUGUUCUAGGAUUUUUGUGUGCUUGUGAAGUUUUCAGAAACUACAUCAGCAUGAAGCAAUUAACUGCGGAAAUGACUUUAAAUACUCAAAAAGACACAAUUGACAAAGAAAUUUGGUUAUAACAACAACAUAACCAUAAUUAUGAUCGGUAGCAUAUACUCAGAAAAAUUAGAAUUUUAGAAAUCCCAUACAACUUUGGAACAUAUAUUAAUAUCAUUCACUAAAAUAUAACCUGAAGAAGGUUAAAUUUUUUUUUUGACACUAUUCUGUAUCGAAAAGUCCAAAAUGUUUCUUAAAAAGUAACUAAAAAAACACUGGAGUAAUUAAAGGACACUUCCUGUGCAGGGGAUGGAAAAAUCUCAACAAAAAAGGAGCGCAGAAGAGCCUGGCUAGGCGGGAGAACACGGUCAGGCCCGCAGGAGACGCCGCGGCACCUGCCAGAAAGAGAGCCGCAGGCCAAGACCAGGAGACGCGAGAGAGGUGGGCAGGGCUGCCCGAGAGACCCAGGCGGCCAUUGCCCGCCCUGCGUCUGCGCCUGCGCCGGAGCCUCCUCCACACUGCGCCAGCGCCGAGUCCGGCCGCCUCCUCAUUGCGCCGGCGCCGGGGCUUCCUCCACACCGCGCCUGCGCCGAUGACAACCCGCCUCUACAGGACGCCUGCGCAACGCCAUAGUCACCUCAUCAGCUCCGUGCACUUACGAGUCUCUCUCUGAUCGACCACGUGUUCCUGUCGGCUCACAGAGGCCGCCUCAGGGUCCUCCCCCAUUGUCUUCCUCGCACCCUCCACUGUUCCCGGCCCUUCACUCUGCGCUUGCGCAGGAGUCGCUCGCUCCUCUCUGCGCCUGCGCAGAGGCCACCUCCUCCCCGCCCGUCCGCUCCCUUGGCGUCGUCUUGGGCCGCGCCCCGACCCCUUCUGUUUACGCAUGCGCAGGAGCCGCCCUGCGCGGGUGGGGGGCUGAGCCCCUGUGGCUUCAGGUUUAAAGGCGCGAGCGCCACCCACGCAGGCACAAGGGCUCCUAGUCGUUUUAUUUUUAGCGUAAGGUUUUCCUCUUUAACAAGGAAGUAAAAAAAAAAGUUGUGCAAUAAAUAUUAAUCGUCCUUAUAUGUACUCGGGAACGUUCGUCCUUUAGGUUUUCUCCUGGCGCAUGGGCGCCGCCAAUCAUUUCGGGGCUUAUUUUGGUUCUAAAGCCCGGGGCAGCCAGGCCUCCCUGCCUGGCCUCGGCGGGGACGCGGGACCUGGGGCCCCGGACCGGGCCUAACCGCCCUGGCCGGUCCCCACUGAUGGUGGCGGUCGGUCCUGAUCGUCCUGAUGGCAGCGACCAGGCUGGACUCGGGCUGUGCAGGGGCGAGGGGAGCAGGGCGGGGUGACGCCCGGAGAGCGGCCUGGAGAGCGCGUGCUUCAGAAGGCGUGGGCACCCUGUCCCCUUUGCAGAUGGGGAUGCAGGCCCUGGUGGCGGUGGAGGGGAGAUGGGGGCAGGGACGUUGCCGGGCAGAGGAAGCUGGAAGUUUGGCUGCUGUAACUGACUGGGAAGCUUAAAAUAACAGACAAUCAUCUCUCACAUUUAUGGGGACUGGGAAGUCCAAGACCAAGUUGCCAUCUGGGGAGGGCCUGUUCCUCACAGCGCCUUCCAGCUCAGGCCUCGUUUAUAAGGGCACUCAAGCCUUCCACGACAACGGGUCCUCAUGACUUACUCACCUCGGAAAGCCCCACCCCCAAGACCAUCACAUUGUGGGUGAUGGCAGAGCAUAAGGUGCCUUCCCCACAUGCUCGGGUUGGCCCAGCGUCUCACGCUAGCAGCUACGUGGAAUAGUUAUUUUUUCUGGAGAACUCUGGGACCCCUCUGAUGUCUUGGAGCACCCACACAGGCCGUUCACUGUGCACGCUGUGAGGCUGUCGUCUUGGAGCACCCACACAGGCCGUUCACUGUGCACGUGGUGAGGCUGUCCUCUGGGGAGUUCUGCUGUUGUAUGGGUUCUGUCUGUGUCAAUGUCCCAGCGGGAACGCAGGGCACACUAGCGUCAUCCCCAGAGGGCUUGGUAAGGGGACUGUUUGCAGAGACAUAGGCAGAGGGCUGGAAAACUACCAAAAAAGUGCAGUGUUCUGGACCUAAUAAUAGCAGAGCUAUUCUCACCCUGGUCUGAAGGCAGGAGGGGAGGAGCAGUUAAUGGAUUCUGGAAGUCAGGUUGCACAGAGUCACCUUGAAAGAUGCCAUGACCUUCACCGAGGGCCAGACAGAGACUAAGAUGACCCCAUAGGAGAAUAAGACCUAGACCUCAUCCUCCUGCCUCCUGCCAGUCCCUGCCAGGGGUCGCCAAUGGCAAAACAGGACUGGAAGCCAGAGGCCAUGGAAGCCCAUGGAUGAAGUCCACAGGCCAGCCUCCCCGAGAGCAGCCUGGACGGUCCGCAGGAGACGUCUCCUGUCUUAGGCGUCCCACGCCGCGUGCUCCUGUUCAGCCCUGCCGAGGUGGAAGCUUGGAGUGGCUCACGGUGGAUGCAUUGACGCUGCAGACGCCAGCAAGUGCUACAAACCAGAGCUGGCCUUUAACUCAGACUGAUGGAGAAGGUGUUAAUAAUGCAGAUUAGACUUAAAAGUGUUGAAGCCAUUGCACUGUGAACAGCAAAAAAAUUGAAGAACUCUUCUGGCAUUUAAAAACAAUUACUCAGUUCAGCAGAGAAGUCACUGACAAACGAGAUCACACUGACUGCUUUGUCGUUUUGGUUUUGUCUUACUCAUUAAUGCAAAUAAGAACAUUCACUAGCAUCUGUGUCGGGCCUACCCUCCCUGGUCAAAUACAGCUACAGUCUCCCUGCAGAAACGAGUUUUCCAGAAAUGAGCCGAUGUUUUCUGCGAGAAUCAAUUGGUCAUAUACAAUUUACAAAAAUGAGUACUGUAUACUAUAUUUGUAAACUGUACACUGCAGAUGCUUUAUUUCACUGAAAUUUAUAAUACACUUAUCCAUGUAUAUGCAUGCAUGCAUUUUUGUUCCUGAGAUCCAGCUGUGAAAUGUUUACCAGCACAUAAAUUACCAGCACAUGCUCUUUUUUGUUAACCUACUAGCAGUGUCUGGGGGCUGGUCCUCAGCCAUGACCGCCGGCCCUGGUCUGUCAUCAUCCUGAUAAUUUUCCAGAACUCCACCUGCAGCCGUCAUCCUGGGCGGCCCUGCUCCAUCUGUACCCUCUGCCCUGCCCUGGUCCUGGACCUGCUCCGCUCUGCAUUGCGCUCUGCGGGACCUGAGAGGUUUCUCAGCAGGAGCUGAAUAGUGUUGAAAAGGCUUCCAGCCCGCACCUCAGUGGGGCACUUUUCUUCAUGGGACAUGCGGGGUUGUCUGGGCUGGAGAACACAGAUUUGGGGGCACUCCGGAAGGUGGCAGAAGGUUGGCCCUACACGGGACCCAGUGGUCAUCUCUGCAAAUGCCGGGGCUGGGCUGUUCCUGCCUCAGAGGCCUCCCUCCUCCAGAGCAGGGGUGGAGAAAUCAGCCUGGAGAGCCUCACGGCGCAGGAGGGAUUUGCCGGGGCUGCCUCUGCAUAGAGCCCCCUGCAAACAGAGGAGCUGUUUUAUAGCACUGGAUUUAGCUUGCAGGGUCCUGGAACACCUAGAGACACCAGAGGGGGAGACCGCAGAUGAAGACCUCCUGGACGGCCGGGCAACCAGUGGCAGUCCCACGAGCCACGGGGCCGUGGCCAGCCUCCUUUCGGGACACAGUCCAGCCUGGAGGGAAGGAGGGGACAGGGGACCUUUCUGAUUCUUCUUUUUCCUUUUCCUUUGGAAUGAGAAAACAGCCUCUACGUUCUCCCAUUCACGUCUGUCAUCAGCUGAAGGAGCUCUUCCCCUUUUCCCCACUGACUCUGCACCCUCCACGGGGACAGCCUUGCUUUCGGGGCACAAUGAAAGAAACAUGACUGGAGACAUUACCAAGACCUGUCACUUGCUACCUUCUCUUUCUGAAGCCGUAAACAUGAGGAAAGACUCAUCGUUAGGUUAUUAUGAAUGAUGGACCAGCUUAUGUGUUUCAAUGAAAGCUAGGCUAUCACUGAGCUUGCUGGCUUAAAGCUGUGUGAGCCCACUGCUUAAUUUUUGGGACACAAAAGGUCUAGAAAUGUCGCCUGGCCUUUUCCAGUAGAGGUUGGCCCAAGAGCAUGAAUUUUCUGGCCAGCAUUUCGUUUCUUUUUCCUUCACGUAUGUUGCCAGCACUCAGGGCCUGUGGACCUGCCUUCUGUGCAGGGUGUCUUGUCUUUCGGGGCCGUGGCUGCUUCCGUAGGAGGCAUGGCAGGUGCCAGCCUGGGGCUGAGCUCUCCCCACGUGGAGCUCAGGGCCUCAGAGGCCAAAGGCACAUCCCUCAGAGGGCCUGGAAAUGGAAGGCCGGGCUGGGUUUACGGCACACCCAGGCCGGGCUCUAGUGGCUCAUGGUCACAGCCUGUCCACACAGCAUGGCGCUCCAGAGAAUGCUCAGAGGCUUAGGCUCAGACAGACAUGAAUUCACGUCUGAUGGGCGGAGCACCCGUGUGACCAUGGCAGGUUGCCUCCUUUUUAUCUGCAAAGCUGUGGCAAUGAUCCCCACCUCCAAGGACUCCAGCGAGGCACAUGUGAGACGCUGCAUGGGAAGAGCGUCCUGCAAACCCGGCCAGAUGGCAGCUGCACCGUCCCUCUGCCAGGUGUCCCUGGAGAUGCCUGCCUACCCAGCUCUGUUUCUGUUCACAUCUCAGUGUGACAAGCAGCCUGGAAGGGCCAUGCUCGAAAGGCUUGGGCCAGGAGCUCUUACCUGGUGAGCACAGACUGCGGCUUCCCAGACACCAACAGGGGAGGGGACAGAUGUUGCGCCAUGCUACGCCAUUGACUUUUCUGCAACUGAUACGAUGGGAAUAAUACUCCACUUCAGUUCACAGGGUGGGGGCAAUAGUGAGUGAGAGCUGGACAAGCCAGGGAAUAUUGAGAGACCAAAGACACCUGUUGUGGAUUUCCUGGGCCAUGAGAGCCGCCUCUUGGACGUGCAGGGUUGACGUAGUCAGCCACUCUUCUGAAACAGCGGCCUGGGGACCAGGCAGCCACGGUGAACCCUGGUACAUCACAGAGGGUGCUGACAUGGGCUGUACUGUGGGAGCUGCUGUGUAAUCAUUGCACACUGGGCAGUGGUGUUUGGCAUUCCCUGUGAUUACGUUCAGCCACCUAGACAGAACCCCAAAUCACGGUGGGUGAAACAAGAUGGAGCGCAUUUUCUUCCAUGCACAGGAAGCAUGGCAGCUGGCACUUACAGCCAGCGUGAAGCUCCCAGGGGCUCCAGAGCCAGGAGCUCUCUGCUCCUGGGCCUCACAUCCCUGCUCAUGGCUUCCAUGCUCCCUGCCAGCGUGGCUGCUGGAACUCCAGCCUUCUCAUCACAAUGCGUACAGGGAGGCUUCCAGAAGCUCUGGGUCAGUAUUCCGGCGUGCAUGUCCUCCACCCUAACGCACUCACCCACAUGCGCCGAGCAAAGUUGGAGCGGGUGGAGAAGGGCCUGGCGGUGCAGAGGCCCCAGGAUUUCUGGACAGGGCAGCUGUGGCUGCAGCAGGGAGGUGCAGUGCUGCGGGGAGGCGGUUGACAGCUGUCGCCUUUUGCCACUUCUGAGCCCAGCCACCAAAUUGGUCCACGUCUCUUAGAAAAUUCUGUGACAUGGCAGAUUCAUUGACACUCCUGGUCAUAACUGCUUCCCUUCUCCCACUAGACCACCUUCCCUCCCCAGCCCCCUUUUGGUAGCACAAAUACAGCUGCUGUGUGUAUUGGAUCCAGCAGGCGUGGAUCCAAUUAAACCUACACUAUUUGUUUCACUUUUCUUCAGAAAGAGCCUAUGAAAUAUGAGUUUCGGGGGCAAAGUUUUUAUCAUCAGAGCUGUUCCUUUCCAGCAGACCUUUCAGUUCUCAGCAGCAGCCCUUCUUUCUGGGGUAGGAACUGAGCUGGUCUGUGGGAUGCCCCGCCUCGUUCCAAAUGGGGUCCAUCCCUGAGACAAAGGCACAUGAUACAAAGCAAAGCCGCACAAACCUGCGGGAAUCAGAGUGAGGGAGAUGGAGGUGGAACAGCCACGCGGCCCGAGGAAGCAGCUACAGAAUGAAGUCUGUUAGUUCCCAUUCAGGCACCAGAGUGGGCCACACAUUUGCUGGUAGCUUCUAUCGACCAGUGCAAAAAGGCGACCGAGGUCUGUGAUGUCCCAGAGUGAACAUGACAGAGCGCAGGGGACACUCGGGCCUGAGCCCCCUGCCACCAAGGAAGAGGACCUUGAGGAAGGCAUGGGUGCCACCUGUCCACUGCACACACAGCCCUUCUAACGAACACGGACCCUCACGGGCCCCCGCGGGGCUCAGACACCGAUUCCAACACGGACCCUCACGGGCCCCGGCGGGGCUCAGACACCGAGGCUGACACACUGCCCUGUGCACACCUGCCUGGAGCCGGUGGCGGGACCCAGGGAGAGACAGCGUGUCCUCCAGCGUCUCCCCAGCUCCUCCGUGGUCAGUGGAGAGUCCAUGGGAACGUUUGAGGCUUUGAUCCUUGGCAAGAAUAUUUUUUUUUUGAGAUGGAGUCUCACUCUGUCGCCCAGGCUGGAGUGCAGAGUGGUGUGAUCUCGGCUCACUGCAAGCUCCGCCUCCCAGGUUCACGCCAUUCUCCUGCCUCAGCCUCCCGAGUAGCAGGGACUACAGGCGCCCGCCACCACGCCUGGCUAAUUUUUUGUAUUUUUAGUACAGACAGGGUUUCACUGUGUUAGCCAGGAUGGUCUCAAUCUCCUGACCUCGUGAUCCACCCUCCUCGGCCUCCCAAAGUGCUGGGAUUACAGGCGUGAGCCCCCGCGCCCGGCCGGCAAGAAUCCUGCGUGCGGAUGUUAAACCAGGGGCCAAAUGCAGCCAGGCUUGCACAGUGGGCUUGUCUUCAGCAAGAUGGGGGCUGCCUCAGAAUCACCAGGAACGUUCGAUAAAAAUGGAGACUUCCGGAACCUGCCCUAACCUACUGAACAGUAUCGUUGCUGGUGGGUGCCCUGCAGUCUGCAUUUGGCAAACUGGCAUAGCGAGUCCCAUGCCGUGUCGAGCCUGAGCCCCACGUUUCAUAAGGGAUUAGGGUCACUGGAGCUCACGAGGCCGCACCUGUUCCUGGCUGGGUGCGCUUGGGCACUUUGCCCGUCUACGCCUGGAACUUCUCUGGUGUAAACUGGAAUAAUAUCUCCUUUACAUGGCACAGAACUAAAGAUUCUUUGAGUUCCAGGUAAUAAAAACCAAGGCCAGACUAAAUCAGACAAAAUGACAUUUAAAACAUAAUAAAGACAGGAUUGCAGCUGACAGUGGAUCUAGAGAUCCACAGUUCACUGGGCCCCCACCCUGCCUGUCGCUCAGAAGUCUCCCCUCUGUGUGGCUUCACUCGCAGGCCGCUCCUCUGCACGGAGCAGCAGGGUGGCCGCCAUCAGCCUGGUCUCAUCUGCCCUCAGGGCUGAUGGUCCUGGACAAACAGCUGUCUCUCUGUUCAUCAAACUUGAGUUCAUAGCCUUCCAGAGGUGGCUGCAAAGCAGGCGGUGUGCUCACCUGGGCCGAUCACACCUCUGAGGGACCGAGCGCUCUGAGGACGGUGCCCCAGGUCACACCCGUGAGGGGCACACAUCCCCUGGGCUUCAGAGCAACGCAGCUGUGUCCUCUCCACAAGGUGAGUUUGAGGAAUCUGUGCACAUGGGAAACACAGCCUGCGUUUCUGAGAACAAGGGCUUUUCAGGUUCCCUCCCUCUAGGCCCUCCAGGCCUGGGGGGACAGGUCCUGGUGCCACAUUCAUAGAACUACACGGCCCUGGCUCCUUCCAGGACCCAGAGGCCUGGACAGGAAGUGCUGGAGCAAAAGCGCUCCCAUUCACACCAGAUUCCACCAGCUCCUCAGGGGCUUCCGUCCCAGCCGGGGCGGGGGGCGGACACCUGAGAGGAGAGGCAGAGACCUCCCAGGAGGGUGGUGCGUGGCCCCUCCCUACAGCCCAUGGGACGACCGCACGGGAAGCCGCUGGAGAGCCGCCACUGAGCAACGUGUUUUCCGUGAAAUAAAACUAAAAGGCUCCUGGUCUCUGUUUACCAGGUAGAUAAAGAAAUCAUAGUCAUCAAAAGUAGCAAAGUGUUCAUUAAACUUGAUACAAAGUAUAUAUUUAGGUGUCUGAAUGUUUCCUGAUGGAAGCAUUUUCAAGGGCAUUUGCCUCAGCUAUGGGAACCAAACAUUUACAUGAAGGAAGGUUUAGAGGUGAACGUCCACUGCGGAGGUCGGAGAAGCACUCAGGUCAGCGGGCAGAGCGGCUAGUCGGUGGGCCGAGCUCUCUGCUACCCCCGCAGGAGUGUCCCGACGCCAUCCCAGAAGCAGCACCUGUGGGCCACGGCGUUUGCUUAGAGCCUGGACUGAGGCUGCCUGGACGGGGCCCCUCACCCGGCCAGAGUUAGGGGUGCCGCUGCCACCCCCAUGGACCCGCUUCGGGCUGCUCAGUCCUUGUUCAUUUGCAUCCAUCUUGGUUUUUAGGAAGGCAAGUUUCUCAGGAGCUCAGAAAAUUAAUUUCGUAGUGAUUAGGCUAUCCCCAGAGUAACACGUUCCAACUGUCACCAGCACGGACUUCUCAUGAAGCCUGGGACCAUUUGCAAGGACUCCCGGGUGUGUGUGUGUGUGUGUGUGUGUGUGUGUGUGUGUGUGUGUUUUCCUGUGUCCUCUGAGUAGACACCGCUAUGAAUGUAGACUUGAGGUUUCUUGGCAAACAUGUGUCCUCACUUAUGUGGCUGAGGAUUCUUCCCCGACUCAGGAUGCAAGUGCCAGGGGACCCGAGUCUCCGGGGAAAGCUGGGUGCAUGCACGGUUCUUUGAUCCGUCAUUUGAAUAAUUAGCUCUUAAUUAGCUGUCUGAGUAUGAUCAUCAGCUUGAAUGUAAGUUUCUUUAGAGGACACUGUGCUUUCCCAUCCUGGUAAGUGGCGAUGAUGGGUUUCUGGGUAUGAGGUUAAUUUGAGGAGGAAUUCUCACCUCCUAGAGCCUGGCAGACAGCAGUCAUGUGGCGCGUUAGCCAAUUACCGGGAAAGCUUCCUGUGCCCGGACGGAAUCUGCUUCCAGGAGCUGGGGGAGAGGAGGCUGCACAUUGCUCCUGGUCACUGCCGGCGCCUUCUGUAUCCUCUGACCCACCCUCCUACGGGAGGGAACGUCUCCGCUGGGGAAGACGACCGUGUGGGCUCAUCUCCAGCCACUGUGGUGACUAUUGUCGUCCCCUUCACUCCGGAUGCUCUUUCCCCCAUGGCCAGAUGCCAGCAGGGUUUGUCCCCAGGACCCUGCAGGAGAUCCCCUCUUCAUCAUCCUGGGAGUGUGACGUGGUCUGCUAAGCAAAGCUCCUUCCCUGCAGCAGGUGAGUCCUAGCUCAGAGGACACGGACGGUGAUUUUCCAACUGUCGUGCUCAGAACAAACUUUCACAUCCAAGAAAUGUUGCAGACAUCCUAGAAAGGAUGAAUCAAACCCACAGGCCCUCAGGCCCCCAUGCAACACUGUGCUGCCUUGGCACAGAAAUAUUUACAGCAGAGUUCCCGUGUGAGCCUGCAGACACAGCAACCAUUUUUUAUAACAGUUCUCCAAAGUCUCUCCUCUUGAAAACAGAGCAAGUUGCACCCUGGUCUCCGUAUCACAUCGGCCUGCAGUUUCACACGAUCUGCUUGGUUCGGAGUGCUGUCUUUCAGACCUGGCUGUGGCCACAUGCUCCUCACAGCUUGCACAUCCCUCAGUCUCGGCACCACGCCACACGGGAGGGGUUCCACCACGUCUCUGAGCUUAGGGUGGCCGGUGGUGCCCAGGGGAGGGGGAAGCCCGUGGCAGGCGUGGGAUGGAUUUGCUGAGUGACUCUAACCACUCCUUAUGGAAUGAGCACCACCUCGCCAGGGGCCUUGUCCUUGCCAUCCUGGGGCCACACGUGUGGCUGCAAGGUCCCUCUGGCAAACCUCCUUUCCCUCUGGGGCUGGUUGAGGACUCCAGGGGGCCAGCCUGGAGACCAAGGCCGUGCUGUGUGGUCAGCAGACCAGUGAGGAGUCAGCAGACCAGUGAGGGGUCAGCGUUCUGCUGUGGCUGCCUGGACUCCUCUUCCUCUCAAGACAGCAGUGUCUGGGGACUGCCAAAACCUCUGCAGGGACCAGCAGCACAGGAUCACAGAAUUCCACACUUCCUGCUAAAUCGGGGUCUCCUUUUCAUCCGUCACAUCUCCCUUCCCGACUGCACCAUCAACAUCAGUUCCUCAUCUCCACAGCCACCAAGGGCAGCUCAGCUCAAGCUCUAGGACUGGCCACCCCUCUUCCUGGACUGUGAUGAUGGAGAGAGGCCCCAGUCCCAGGCAGCCACGAGGACGGCGCCUGUCCAGACACACAAAGCAAGGGCCCCGCAGGAGAAGCAAGCCUCCCUCACUCCAGAUGCCUCGCCAUGAAGCCGUACACCCACCCAGCCGACCUGCACGCGAGAGCUGCUCAUUCGUUUUUCGGCUCGGCAGCUGCACGACCUUGUGGGUUCCUGAGCUGCUGGCUGGGAAGCUGAGGUUGGACUCAGACAGGCAGGAGGCACGCAGGCCCCGGAGUGAGGCGCCACCGUGGCUCAGGGCAGAGAAUGCUGAUCUGAGGAGGGAACAUCUAAACUAAGGCUUGGAGGGUGGGUGGUCGGGGGCGAGGGAGGAGUGUGCCCCAGCCUCCUAUCUGACCUGAACGUGCCCAUUUCCAUCUUGGCAGGUGCUGAGGCAGUGAUGCUGCCGGGCGGUUCCACGGCCUCUCUCCCCAGGGCUCUGAGUGUCAGGUGGGGGUCCAGGCUGAGGCUCAAGUCAGGUCUGCUCUGUGUGCCCCUCACUCUGCUGAGCUCCAGGCAUGUUUUUCCUGAAGCCGAUUCCCUGGAACACAUUGCAGGGCCUGCGGACAUCCACCAGCGUCCACGUGGUCAAAGCCCACCUUAGUGGGGUGGAGAAAAAUGUUCCUUCCAUGGCCAUCAGGAGCAGGGCUGACCAUCGCAGGGAGGGCUCACAUCUGCCCAGUCUCUGCCAGCGAGUCUCCUCUCAGAUCCCACGUGGGCACUCCCUCCCCACCCCUUCGUCUCUAAGAUUAAAUCCAGGUGCCUUGAGCCCCAGUCCCCAUGUUCCCCUCAAACCCCUGUUCCUCCCCACAGAGACACAUGGCUCCAGCUCCACACCCGAGCACCUGCUGUUUACGGUUUGUGCUGACCGGAUGCUGUUUCUCCUUCCAUCUCCACCUGCAAAUGUUCUGCUGACCCUCAGGCCGGUUUGAAGACCAGCACAGCCCAUGUGAGCAGGGCACAGGGCCCCAUCCUGAGUGGCUGGCCUGUCCGGGGGAGGAAGUUCCACCCCACACCCACCCCACCACCACAGGAUGUGCCCAGAAGGCGGAGGGACUGGCCACUGUGGGGGCUCCCAUGUCCAGGCCGGGCCUCCUCAGCAUAAAAUCAGCUGACAGCAGCCUCAACGCGCCACUGCCUGAGAGGACACCGCCUCUCCAAACCUGGGAAGAAGGCAGCCACGCCCUGGGGAGGGAACAGGUGGAGGUGGGUGCCAGGACUAGCCAGGACUUCCUCCCAAAUAUUUAGAAACUUGAUUGCAAUGAAAAGAUAGCAUCACUGAAUUAAAGACGUCAUUUAUUAUGGAGCUGAGAUUUGGUUUGCCCAGCAGCUUAAAACAAUGUCACUCACAGCCUUGUGGCACCUUGGGACGGGCAGGUGCCUACACAAUUAUUUACUUAAGAACAUACCUUCCUUUAAAAUAACCAAUGUUGUACUUAGAUAAAUGUAUUUACAUGGGAGACUUUCUGUCACAGAUUUGAUGUCUCGUGAUCAUUUCUCUUAGUAUACAUUAAAAGUUAAUUAUUGUCAGAAAAAGUUAUCUGAAACCUGGAACUAAGUCCCUAAAGUGGGCAGGGC